rnacentral:tRNA from 1 species
GGGAAAGUGGCUCAGUGGUAGAGUGCUUGCUUAGCAUGCAUGAAGCCCUGGGUUCGAUUUCUCAGUACCA